rnacentral:rRNA from 1 species
AGAGAUGUGUGAUGACGCAUAUCAAUAAGCGGAGGAAAAGAAACUAACAAGGAUUCCCUUAGUAACGGCGAGUGAAGCGGGAAGAGCUCAAAUUUGAAAUCUUCAAGGUUCUACCUUGACGAAUUGUAGUUUAUAGAAGUGUUUUCUGUUAGUAGAGUGGCAAAAGUUCUUUGGAAUAGGACAUCAUAGAGGGUGAGAAUCCCGUAUUUGGUCAUUCUUUCUAGCUUUGUGAUACACUUUCAACGAGUCGGAUUGUUUGGGAAUGCAGUCCAAAAUGGGUGGUAAAUUUCAUCUAAAGCUAAAUAUUGGCGAGAGACCGAUAGCGAACAAGUACCGUGAGGGAAAGAUGAAAAGAACUUUGAAAAGAGAGUUAAACAGUACGUGAAAUUGUCAAAAGGGAAGCGUUUGACACCAGUGUUGUUUUUCCGAAAAUCAAUUACGAAUGUUUUGUUUUUGAGAAGUUAUGACUUCAUCGGCUUGCUUCUUUCUUUACGAAACUUUCUUAAUGCACUUUUCGGUUAACAAGUCAACAUCAAUUUCUUUUGUUGUAAAAGGGUAUGAGGAAGGUGGCUUUCUUUUCGGAGAAAGUGUUUAUAGCCUUGUAGCCUCUGCAAUCGGAGAGAUCGAGGUCUGCAGCAUAGAUCCUUCGGGGUUAGAUACAGUUUGUGCUAAGUUAUAGCUUUUCAUAGACAACUUGUUGACUAUGUUUAGUCUUGUAGCUUACUCGCUGACUGCUAUUUUACCUACGCUUAGGAUGUUGAUCUGUAGUGCGUGCGC